GUAAUUUUCUAUGUGCUUCUAUAUGGGUGUAGCACUUAGUCCAUUGAGAUAUGGCGUUCAGUGCGUGAAUCCAUUCGUCAUCCGUGAGUUGGAUAGUGCAUUCUGUUUCCCACAUUGCUUUGCAAUGCGGUGUUGCGUUGGGCAAGGUACUGUCCCAUGCCCUAUAACAGAGGGAAAUACUGUUCUUUUUCAUAGGGCCUUUCCAGCAUCUUUCUAUUACUGCUUUUGUUGGAAGGGGGCUCUGGUCAGGGGGUUGUUGUUGCUUGUUUACGUGUGUGUUGAUGAUCCCUUUUAGUUGUAGGUACGUGAAAAUAGCGUUUGUUGGCAACUCCCAUUUCGUUUGUAUGUCCGUGAAGGGUAAUAUUUCUUGCGAUUGCAUUAUCUGGUGAAUAUGUCUAAUGCCUGCAUGUACCCAUGUCUGUAGACGUAUGUCUGGUGAUAUGGCUCUUAGGGCGGUUAGAG